rnacentral:rRNA from 1 species
UACGGAGGGGGCUAGCGUUGUUCGGAAUUACUGGGCGUAAAGAGUGUGUAGGCGGUGCUCUAAGUUUGGUGUGAAAUCUCCCGGCUCAACUGGGAGGGUGCGCCGAAAACUGGAAUGCUUGAACGUGGGAGAGGAAAGCGGAAUUCCUGGUGUAGCGGUGAAAUGCGUAGAUAUCAGGAGGAACACCUGCGGUGUAGACGGCUUUCUGGACCAUUGUUGACGCUGAGACACGAAAGCGUGGGUAGCAAACAGG